rnacentral:rRNA from 1 species
AGUGAACGCUGGCGGUAGGCCUAACACAUGCAAGUCGAACGGCAGCACAGUAAGAGCUUGCUCUUACGGGUGGCGAGUGGCGGACGGGUGAGGAAUACAUCGGAAUCUACUUUUUCGUGGGGGAUAACGUAGGGAAACUUACGCUAAUACCGCAUACGACCUACGGGUGAAAGCAGGGGAUCUUCGGACCUUGCGCGAUUGAAUGAGCCGAUGUCGGAUUAGCUAGUUGGCGGGGUAAAGGCCCACCAAGGCGACGAUCCGUAGCUGGUCUGAGAGGAUGAUCAGCCACACUGGAACUGAGACACGGUCCAGACUCCUACGGGAGGCAGCAGUGGGGAAUAUUGGACAAUGGGCGCAAGCCUGAUCCAGCCAUACCGCGUGGGUGAAGAAGGCCUUCGGGUUGUAAAGCCCUUUUGUUGGGAAAGAAAAGUAGCAGGUUAAUACCCCGCUGUUCCGACGGUACCCAAAGAAUAAGCACCGGCUAACUUCGUG